AUGGCGGCCAACGUGGGGGAGUCCACGAGCGGCAGCGGCAGCAGCGUGGCUGGCGACGGCGGGGGCAGCUUCGAGUGCAACAUAUGCUUCGAGCUGCCGCAGGAGCCCAUCGUCACGCUCUGCGGCCACCUCUUCUGCUGGCCCUGCCUCUACAAGUGGCUGCACAUCCACUCGCACUCGCCCGAGUGCCCCGUCUGCAAGGCCGUCGUCGAGGAGGACAAGCUCGUCCCGCUCUACGGCCGCGGCAAGGACCGCGUCGACCCCAGGUCCAAGGGCGUGCCGGCCGGGGCCGAGAUCCCCAACCGGCCGACCGGGCAGCGGCCUGCCACGGCCCCGCAGGCAGAUCCCAACAACCACUUCCCUAAUGCGAACCCUAACCCCUGGUUCAUGGGGGGAGGGGGCGUCCCUCUGGCCAACGCGCGGUGGGGGAACUACACCUUCUCGGCCGCGUUCGGCGGCCUGUUCCCGCUGCUGAGCUUCCAGGUGCAUGGAUUCCCGGACGCGGCCGCGUACGGGCAGCCUGCCGGGUUUCCCUAUGGGUACGGCCAUGGCCAUGGCCACGGGCAUGCUUUCCAUGGCGGGCACGCCCACGCCGCCGCCCCCCGGCACGCGCCGCCCGGGCAGCAGCAGCAGCAGCAGCAGGCGGACGUGUACCUCAAGGCGCUGCUCAUCCUGGUUGGCUUUCUCGUGAUCGCAAGCCUCAUCACAUUCUAG
rnacentral:rRNA from 1 species